ensembl:snoRNA
UGGAUCGAUGAUGCCUACUGUGGUGUAUUAGCUGUGUAUGUUCAAUACGUGUCUGGAACUCUGAGGUUGAA